GCAAGUCGAACGGCAGCGGGUAGGAAGCUUGCUUCCUAUGCCGGCGAGUGGCGGACGGGUGAGGAACACAUCGGAAUCUACUCCGUCGUGGGGGAUAACGUAGGGAAACUUACGCUAAUACCGCAUACGACCUAAGGGUGAAAGUGGGGGACCGCAAGGCCUCACGCGAUGGAAUGAGCCGAUGUCCGAUUAGCUAGUUGGCGGGGUAAAGGCCCACCAAGGCGACGAUCGGUUGCUGGUCUGAGAGGAUGAUCAGCCACACUGGGACUGAGACACGGCCCAGACUCCUACGGGAGGCAGCAGUGGGGAAUAUUGGACAAUGGGCGAAAGCCUGAUCCAGCCAUGCCGCGUGGGUGAAGAAGGCCUUCGGGUUGUAAAGCCCUUUUGUUGGGGAAGAAAUCCUGCUGGCUAAUACCCGGCGGGGAUGACGGUACCCAAAGAAUAAGCACCGGCUAACUUCGUGCCAGCAGCCGCGGUAAUACGAAGGGUGCAAGCGUUACUCGGAAUUACUGGGCGUAAAGCGUGCGUAGGUGGUGGCUUAAGUCCGUUGUGAAAGCCCUGGGCUCAACCUGGGAAUUGCAGUGGAUACUGGGUCACUAGAGUGUGGUAGAGGGUGGCGGAAUUCCCGGUGUAGCAGUGAAAUGCGUAGAGAUCGGGAGGAACACCCGUGGCGAAAGCGGCCACCUGGGCCAACACUGACACUGAGGCACGAAAGCGUGGGGAGCAAACAGGAUUAGAUACCCUGGUAGUCCACGCCCUAAACGAUGCGAACUGGAUGUUGGGUUCAAUUUGGGACUCAGUAUCGAAGCUAACGCGUUUAAGUUCGCCGCCUGGGGGAGUACGGUCCGCAAGACUGAAACUCAAAGGAAUUGACGGGGGCCCGCACAAGCGGUGGGAGUAUUGUGGUUUAAUUCGAUGCAACGCGAAGAAACCUUACCUUGUCUUGACAUCCGCGAACUG
rnacentral:rRNA from 1 species